rnacentral:sRNA from 1 species
GCAAGAGUUGUUGAGACUGAUGACCUCCAUUUAAUGACAAAUAAAAACUGCAUGGGCAGUAGCAGUAAAAACUGGCUCCCACUGAUUAAACAACAGGCUUCAAGCCCAGCUGAGAUGGAUGAUUUGUGAGGGUGAGAGGUGAAUUCAGCUUUCAUGUCCACUUAGUCUUUGAUAUCU